ACCAGCAGGUUGGCUGUAUUUAAUGGCACUAGACGAUCCCCAGUGACGAUGUUCAGUGAGAGGGAUUUUCUGGAAGUAACACGGAAAGGAUUGACAGAUUGAUAGCUCUUUCUCGAUUCUGUGGGUGGUGGUGCAUGGCCGUUCUUAGUUGGUGGAGCGAUUUGUCAGGUUAAUUCCGAUAACGAACGAGACUUCGGCAUGCUAACUAGUUAUGCGGCCCCGAGUGGUCGGCGUCCAACUUCUUAGAGGGACAAGUGGCGUUUAGCCACACGAGAUUAAGCAAUAACAGGUCUGUGAUGCCCUUAGAUGUCCGGGGCUGCACGCGCGCCACACUGAGCGGAUCAGCGUGUGUCUACCCUUCGCCAAGAGGCGUGGGUGACCCGCUGAACCCCUCUCGUGAUAGGGAUUGGGGAUUGCAAUUAUUUCCCAUGAACGAGGAAUUCCCAGUAAGCGCGGUUCAUAAGCUCGCGUUGAUUAAGUCCCU
rnacentral:ncRNA from 1 species